rnacentral:rRNA from 1 species
GCUAAGCAUAUCAAUAAGCGGAGGAAAAGAAACCAACAGGGAUUGCCCUAGUAACGGCGAGUGAAGCGGCAACAGCUCAAAUUUGAAAUCUGGCCUUCGGGUCCGAGUUGUAAUUUGUAGAGGAUGCUUUUGGCGCGGUGCCUUCCGAGUUCCCUGGAACGGGACGCCUUAGAGGGUGAGAGCCCCGUACGGUUGGACACCAAGCCUCUGUAAAGCUCCUUCGACGAGUCGAGUAGUUUGGGAAUGCUGCUCUAAAUGGGAGGUAAAUUUCUUCUAAAGCUAAAUAUUGGCCAGAGACCGAUAGCGCACAAGUAGAGUGAUCGAAAGAUGAAAAGCACUUUGAAAAGAGGGUUAAAUAGCACGUGAAAUUGUUGAAAGGGAAGCGUUUGCGACCAGACUUUUUCCUAGCGGAUCAUCCGGUGUUUUCACCGGUGCACUUUGCUAGGUUAAGGCCAGCAUCGGUUUCUGUAGGGGGAUAAAAGCUUGGGGAAUGUAGCUCCCUCGGGAGUGUUAUAGCCUCUUGCAUAAUACCCUUACGGGGACCGAGGACCGCGCUUUUGCAAGGAUGCUGGCGUAAUGGUUGUCAACGACCCGUCUUGAAACACGGACCAAGGAGUCGAACAUUUGUGCGAGUGUUUGGGUGUUAAACCCUCACGCGUAAUGAAAGUGAACGGAGGUGAGAGCCCUUACGGGUGCAUCAUCGACCGAUCCUGAUGUCUUCGGAUGGAUUUGAGUAAGAGCAUAACUGUUCGGACCCGAAAGAUGGUGAACUAUGCGUGGAUAGGGUGAAGCCAGAGGAAACUCUGGUGGAGGCUCGCAGCGGUUCUGACGUGCAAAUCGAUCGUCAAAUCUGCGCAUGGGGGCGAAAGACUUAUCGAACCAUCUAGUAGCUGGUUACCGCCGAAGUCUU